rnacentral:rRNA from 1 species
GACGAACGCUGGCGGCGUGCUUAACACAUGCAAGUCGAACGGAAAGGCCCUGCUUUUGUGGGGUGCUCGAGUGGCGAACGGGUGAGUAACACGUGAGUAACCUGCCCUUGACUUUGGGAUAACUUCAGGAAACUGGGGCUAAUACCGGAUAGGAGCUCCUGCUGCAUGGUGGGGGUUGGAAAGUUUCGGCGGUUGGGGAUGGACUCGCGGCUUAUCAGCUUGUUGGUGGGGUAGUGGCUUACCAAGGCUUUGACGGGUAGCCGGCCUGAGAGGGUGACCGGCCACAUGGGGACUGAGAGACGGCCAAGACUCCUACGGGAGGCAGCAGGGGGGAAUAUUGCACAAUGGGCGGAAGCCUGAGGCAGCAACGCCGCGUGCGGGAUGACGGCCUUCGGGUUGUAAACCGCUUUCGCCUGUGACGAAGCGUGAGGGACGGUAAUGGGUAAAGAAGCACCGGCGAACUACGG